rnacentral:misc_RNA from 1 species
GAUGAAGAACGUAGCGAAACGCGAUAUGUAAUGUGAAUUGCAGAAUUCAGUGAAUCAUCGAAUCUUUGAACGCACAUGGCGCCUUCCAGUAUCCUGGGAGGCAUGCCUGUCCGAGCGUCGUUUCAACCCUCGAGCCCCCGUGGCCCGGCGUUGGGGAUCUGCCACGGCAGGCCCCUAAAACCAGUGGCGGACCCGAAGGCCCUCUCCUUUGCGCAGUAGCAUCAGCUUCGCAUUGGGAUCCCUCGGCGUCCUGCCUCUAAACCCCCCACAAGUCCGCUCCGGCGGCACCAAGGUUGACCUCGGAUCAGGUAGGAAUACCCGCUGAACUUAAGCAUAUCAAUAAGCGGAGGA